rnacentral:rRNA from 1 species
AUUGAACGCUGGCGGCAGGCCUAACACAUGCAAGUCGAGCGGUAGCACAGGGAGCUUGCUCCCGGGUGACGAGCGGCGGACGGGUGAGUAAUGUCUGGGAAACUGCCUGAUGGAGGGGGAUAACUACUGGAAACGGUAGCUAAUACCGCAUAACGUCGCAAGACCAAAGAGGGGGACCUUCGGGCCUCUUGCCAUCAGAUGUGCCCAGAUGGGAUUAGCUAGCAGGUGGGGUAACGGCUCACCUAGGCGACGAUCCCUAGCUGGUCUGAGAGGAUGACCAGCCACACUGGAACUGAGCCACGGUCCAGACUCCUACGGGAGGCAGCAGUGGGGAAUAUUGCACAAUGGGCGCAAGCCCGAUGCAGCCAUGCCGCGUGUAUGAAGAAGGCCUUCGGGUUGUAAAGUACUUUCAGCGGGGAGGAAGGUGUUGUGGUUAAUAACCACAGCAAUUGACGUUACCCGCAGAAGAAGCACCGGCUAACUCCGUGCCAGCCGCCGCAGUAACAC